rnacentral:rRNA from 1 species
UACGUAGGUGACAAGCGUUGUCCGGAUUUACUGGGCGUAAAGCGCGUGUAGGCGGUUGCCCAAGUCGGGUGUGAAAGCCUUGAGCUCAACUCAAGAAAUGCACUCGGUACUGGGUGACUAGAGGACCGGAGAGGAUAGUGGAAUUCCCAGUGUAGUGGUGAAAUACGUAGAGAUUGGGAAGAACACCAGUGGCGAAGGCGGCUAUCUGGACGGUUUCUGACGCUAAGACGCGAAAGCGUGGGGAGCAAACAGG